rfam:Populus trichocarpa isolate Nisqually-1 chromosome 9, whole genome shotgun sequence.
GCUGAGCUCAGUAGCGUGGGCUUGUAACUCAAGUGAGGGCAAGAAGGUGAUGGAACUUUGUUUCGGCACAGAAGGUCGGAUUUGGUGUGGCUUCUUACUGGCCUGCCCGUUCCAAGCCAAGAGUGAGCCAUGCUAACCAAGCGAAGGCCUGGUUGGCCUGUCUCCUGAAGUGAAGGGCACUGCGUGAGGCUGGUUUCACAGAGCAACGAUCACCUUCCUCUCUUGGCAGUGGAAGGAUAACAGGCUGGUGCCAAUCAGAUCCGUAUGGCCUAAUGGGCUGUUCCAACUGGACCAUCAUUUUU